rnacentral:snoRNA from 1 species
UUUCAUGAUGAUCAUUCUUCUUUUACAACUUUAUACGCUGGAAAUUACCGGCUGAGAUCUUUUUCGCUGAAGAUAUUAAAUGGCUAUUUCUGAUG